UAGGCCUACGGGAGGCAGCAGGGAAUUUUCGUCAAUGGGCGCAAGCCUGAACGAGCAAUGCCGCGUGAACGAGGAAGGUCUUCGGGUCGUAAAGUUCUGUUGAAGGGGAAAAAGAGCGGAGAGAGGAAAUGCUUUCUGAUUGAUAUUACCCUUCGAGGAAGUCACGGCUAACUACGUGCCAGCAGCCGCGGUAAUACGUAGGUGGCGAGCGUUAUCCGGAAUGAUUGGGCGUAAAGGGUGCGUAGGCGGCCUGCUAAGUCUGGAGUGAAAGGUACCGGCUCAACCGGUACAGGCUCUGGAAACGG
rnacentral:rRNA from 1 species